GACAUGAUGCCUCUUGGCCCUUGUGCCUUUGCCAGCGCCGCUCAGACCCAGCCAGACGUCGCUCAGCUCUUGGUUGGCUGCAGGGAGCUAUACUUCAGUCCCCUCCAUUUUUUGUUUGUUUUACAAACUUGCUCCCCUCCCUUCCCCAAGACGCCAGAUUCAUAAUUUGACUUUCAUCUCUGGGCACCAAGGUCUGGCUGGCAGGGCUGAUCGAACAGCUCUUGGAUGAGACAGACCCACCUUGUGAGAACAUUAAUUUCCCUGUGAUAUGGAGGAGGAUCUAUCCAGCUGAUGUUCUGGUCUGCAACAGGCUCUGUCUGCCAGAUUGAAAAUAACCUUUCUUGGACUGCUUAUUUUUCUGUCCUUCUUUUCGUUCCUUGCUCCUGACACUUUCCUCCUUCAGUCCCUCUUGCACACCUGGUCACUUAAGAAGAGAGAGGAGGGAAAAAAGGCAAUCUUUGGUGAAUGGGCUGGUCCAGUGGCAUUUCUGUGUGCUGCACAGCGUCUGUGUUUAAAAUCCUAUUGCAGUCAGGGAGGAACUGGGAAGCAGAGGAUACAAAAGAAAAAUCCACGGCUUAAUCUUUCAGAAGAAGUUUCUCCCCAUUUUGAAAUCUAUCCAGCACACGUCGGAUAAGUCAAUAAGAUUCAUGUCCCGGAAAGAAUACAAAACCACCGGUCAUUUAUCAAAGGAAAAGAAACCACGGACUAUUUUCCUCUCCUCCAGUUAGUUCAAGCUUGAGGGAUUUCAGUGGCCUCUAAUGCCCUCUAAUGGAGAAAGCUGAUGGAGCAAAGUCCUGCUGGGGAGCGGGCAGAGGGAGCGAGCACGGAGCGCCUCGAUGGAGCGGGAGCUGCCAGGGAGCUCUGAAGCUUUCGCUGGGAGCCCGCCAGCUCUUGGAUUAAACCCCACGUUUAAGGCAUUUGUAGCUUAGAGGUAUUAAGUCACCUCUUACCAAAAACUUGGCAGAUCCUUUCCUUCCUCCCUUCCUUCCUCAUUUAAUAAGUUUGCUUGUUUAACUUCACUUAAGAAUGGUAGGAAAAUAUUUUUGACGCUGAUCCCAGAUUUGGCACGUUUCCUCCAGAAUGAUACCCUCUCUAUCAGGAGUUGAAACCAAACAUGCGCCUUACAGAGGAAUGUCUCCAAAGU